UGACCUCGUGAUCCACCCGCCUCCCAAAGUGCUAGGAUUACAGGCAUGAGCCACUGUGCCCGGCCUAUUUACUUUUUUUUAAAGAGAUUUAUUUCAGAAACAUAAAAACAUGACCGAACCCUUCAUCGGCCAAUAAAAUAGGCAAAAAUAACAUACAUACAUACAAACUCAUGCACGUUAGCAACAGGCUCACAGGCGUGAGAGCCACCAGCAGAUGAACUGUGCUCAUGAUGAGCUGGGUGAGGAGGGGAACUCACACGUGUGCGUAGGAGGUGAGACGGGGAACACGCAUGUGCAUAGGAGGUGAGACAGGGAACGCGUGUGCGUAGGAGGUGAGAAGGGGUAACAUGCGUGUGCGUAGGUGAGAUGGGGAACACACGUGUGCAUAGGAGGUGAGACGGGGAACACACAUGUGCAUAGGUGAGAAGGGGUAACACGCGUGUGCGUAGGAGGUGAGACGGGGAACACGCGUGUGCAUAGGAGGUGAGAAGGGGUAACGCGUGUGCGUAGGAGGUGAGAGGGGUAACGCGUGUGCGUAGGAGGUGAGACGGGGAACUCGCGUGUGCGUAGGAGGUGAGACGGGAACUCGCGUGUGCGUAGGUGAGACGGGGAGCACGCACGUGCAUGAGAGACCGUGGCUGGUGGCUGUGUGCACCUGCCUUUAUAGCUGCAGCCAUCAGAACACCAGGAUGAACAACCCGUCCUCUAAGCAGCUCCGUCAAAGGCGCAGGGGACACCACGUGUGCCGCCGCCCAGAGAGGCAGGGUCUCAAACAGCUUCUCUCUCAGAAAGGCAGAGGACAAAAAGGCCACCUCCUCCUUUACUGAGGAAGUCCCAGGACUGUGCCUCUCUGGAUUAGGGUCCAGCCCCCCGGGCAGCCUCACCUUCAGAUCAGCAGGGGAAGCCUGCCUGGGGGAGGUGAGGAAGGAGGCUCAGAGUUUGCAGGGGGAGCCCCCACAGGGUGGGGAGGGGGCUGAGAAGCAGGAGGGAAGUAACCAGGGCACUCUGCACAGUUCAGAAGAGAGGUGGGGGUGCGACCCCGCAUCCGCUCAGCACCCACCAGACCUGAGUGUGGAGACCUGGGCACCCCACUGCCCUCCCCCGGAGGGGGCGGCUGGGUGGGGCUGGGUGCGAAAGCUGCCCUGCACUGCUGAGGGAC